AGAUUAGGAUCUUAGGUCUAUAAA
rnacentral:snRNA from 1 species